rnacentral:rRNA from 1 species
GAGUCUCCUGAAGGAACGUUGAAGACGACGACGUUGAUAGGCCGGGUGUGUAAGUGCAGCGAUGCGUUGAGCUAACCGGUACUAAUGAACCGUGAGGCUUAACCUU